GAUGAACGCUGGCGGCGUGCCUAAUACAUGCAAGUCGAGCGAACAGACGAGGAGCUUGCUCCUCUGACGUUAGCGGCGGACGGGAGAGUAACACGUGGAUAACCUACCUAUAAGACUGGGAUAACUUCGGGAAACCGGAGCUAAUACCGGAUAAUAUAUUGAACCGCAUGGUUCAAUAGUGAAAGACGGUUUUGCUGUCACUUAUAGAUGGAUACGCGCCGCAUUAGCUAGUUGGUAAGGUAACGGCUUACCAAGGCAACGAUGCGUAGCCGACCUGAGAGGGUGACUCGCCACACUGGAACUGAGACACGGUCCAGACUCCUACGGGAGGCAGCAGUAGGGAAUCUUCCGCGAUGGGCGAAAGCCUGACGGAGCAACGCCGCGUGAGUGAUGAAGGUCUUCGGAUCGUAAAACUCUGUUAGUAGGGAAGAACAAAUGUGUAAGUAACUAUGCACGUCUUGACGGUACCUAAUCAGAAAGCCACGGCUAACUCCGUG
rnacentral:rRNA from 1 species